AACAGGAUUAGAUACCCUGGUAGUCCACGCCGUAAACGAUGUCGACUUGGAGGCUGUGCCCUUGAGGCGUGGCUUCCGGAGCUAACGCGUUAAGUCGACCGCCUGGGGAGUACGGCCGCAAGGUUAAAACUCAAAUGAAUUGACGGGGGCCCGCACAAGCGGUGGAGCAUGUGGUUUAAUUCGAUGCAACGCGAAGAACCUUACCUACUCUUGACAUCCAGAGAACUUUCCAGAGAUGGAUUGGUGCCUUCGGGAACUCUGAGACAGGUGCUGCAUGGCUGUCGUCAGCUCGUGUUGUGAAAUGUUGGGUUAAGUCCCGCAACGAGCGCAACCCUUAUCCUUUGUUGCCAGCGGUUAGGCCGGGAACUCAAAGGAGACUGCCAGUGAUAAACUGGAGGAAGGUGGGGAUGACGUCAAGUCAUCAUGGCCCUUACGAGUAGGGCUACACACGUGCUACAAUGGCGCAUACAAAGAGAAGCGACCUCGCGAGAGCAAGCGGACCUCAUAAAGUGCGUCGUAGUCCGGAUUGGAGUCUGCAACUCGACUCCAUGAAGUCGGAAUCGCUAGUAAUCGUGGAUCAGAAUGCCACGGUGAAUACGUUCCCGGGCCUUGUACACACCGCCCGUCACACCAUGGGAGUGGGUUGCAAAAGAAGUAGGUAGCUUAACCUUCGGGAGGGCGCUUACCACUUUGUGAUUCAUGACUGGGGUGAAGUCGUAACAAGGUAACC
rnacentral:rRNA from 1 species